GUGAGGCAAGAUGUUGGCAUAGCUGAUGGUCGAAUUGAAGCAAUUCCGCUCUGCCACAUGUAGCCACGCA
rfam:Pristionchus pacificus strain PS312 contig5875, whole genome shotgun sequence.